CCUACGGGGGGCAGCAGUGAGGAAUAUUGGUCAAUGGACGCAAGUCUGAACCAGCCAUGUAGCGUGCAGGAUGACUGCCCUACGAGUUGUAAACUGCUUUUGUACGAGGAUAAAGGCAGACACGUGUACCUGUUUGAAUGUACUUUAUGAAUAAGGAUCGGCUAACUCCGUGCCAGCAGCCGCGGUAAUACGGAGGAUCCGAGCGUUAUCCGGAUUUAUUGGGUUUAAAGGGUGCGUAGGUGGUCGGAUAAGUUAGUGGUGAAAUCUCGAGGCUCAACUGUGAAAUUGCCACUGAUACUGGUAGUCUUGAGCAUAGUUGAGGUAGGCGGAAUGUGUGGUGUAGCGGUGAAAUGCUUAGAGAUCAUGCAGAACUCCGAUUGCGAAGGCAGCUUACCAAACUGCUACUGACAUUGAGGCUCGAAAGCGUGGGUAGCAAACAGGAUUAGAUACCCUUGUAGUC
rnacentral:rRNA from 1 species